AUGCCGCCUCCCUCCGUUUCCGCCUCGUCGGCCGACCACCGCGACGACGUGCCGAGCCGCGUGACUCCGUGUCUCUCCGUCUGUCGUAGUCUCCACUCUCCACCCGCGGCUUGCGCGCGCGAACCCUCCCUCGUGUCGAGAUGGGAAGGGGAUCAGGAAUCCCAAAUCCCUCUCAGGCAUCCCAGUUCGCCGAUCCGUCUCGUUUCAGCAAGCGGCUCGUCGUGGGCACUAGACUAGAGAAAAAUUCCAAACCAAUUUAGUUGGAGGAUGUUGCUUCUCGUCCCUGAUUGCGAAGAUACAGCCAGAGAUUGCGUUAUUACCAGCAUAAUAUUCAAAACAAAGAUGUAAACAUCAGUGGCUAAAAUGCAGCAGAAAAGAGGUGCAUAUCUUGGUGAUAAGAGACGGUGACAUCGUAGCCAUCCUGAUUUCUGCAGUUCCCAUUCAAGAAAAGGAAAAGGAGACUUUGACUCGUCGACCUUUUAACACCGUCAAUUUCAGGAACAAAAAAAAUGAAACCGUCAUGUUCAGGACUGGUGUACGUCGUCGCCGUCGUCUGGAGGCGAGUUCUUGGGAUGAGUGAAGAAUAUGGCGGCCUCGGCCGGCGGCCGGCGGUGACGUGAUGUUGCUUCGUCGUCCACCGUCGAGCUUGGCCUGGACGAGCACGUAUGCGGCGGCGGCGGCGACAGAAAUUCAGAAAUAGAAGAGAUCCAUGCUGAGAUCGAGAGGUGCGUGGCGUUUGGUGGCAACGGAGAGCCGCUUUACUGCUCAACUUGCAAACGUGGUUUCGAUGUGUUUGGACGGAUGUAUUAAAAGAUGAUGGAUCGGCCCAGGCCCAAGCCCAUUGCUGCAGCCCAAGAAUUCAAGAGGCCGCAUUUUCCUUCGUUAGAGUACGUUUCCUUGACCAUUUCCUUUUUAUUCCCGCUUUCGAAAUGCCAAAUUUUGCUGCUUACAGCUAUCUUUUGUGCUGUCUUUAUCUCUCAAUUUUACAUAUCAUCCGUAUUUUUCCUCUAAAAACUGUAGCAGCGAUGCAGUAUACCCCCGUAUUUAUUACACGGUAUACUUGCCUUAUACUAGGGUUCUGGGGUCCGAUUGCAAAAUAAGUUCAGGCGCCAUAGGAAUGGUCGGAUUUCGGAAAUUUUGGACGAAAUUUGAACCACAUUUGACUAAACUUGAACCAAAUUCAGAUGAAAUGGGAGUAAAAUAUCGUUUUCUGACUCAAUGCGAAAUUUAUCUUAAUUUAAAUAAUUAAAAUUAACUUAACCCGAUACCAUGAACAUUUUUACUAGUAAGAAAAAGAUGGGGAGUACGUACUCGUGGUCAAAUUUUCUACGCACCUGUGAGCACAUUGCAGCCACACACACACGUACGCGAGCUGCUACUCUGCUAGCCGUACCUGAUUCCACCUAGGGCCGAGAUGUGCCGACGGCAUGUAGAUGUAUGUAGCCAUGUAGGUGAGGAACCAGAGUCAGACAGAGAACGGCAUGGAGUCAAAAGACAAAUAUUCGCUCAUGUCCCAUUCCAAAUACCUGUGUAAGCAUAGACGCAUUGUUGUGUCCUCAGUGGCGGCGGAUUCAGGAUCCGAAGACCGGAGGGGUUGGUUAUCUUUUUUUUCUUUCCUCCAAUCUUCUCUCAUCUUCCUCCUCCUCGUCUUCUUCCCUCUCUC